CUGGGGGAAGGGAACGGAUUGGGAGAAAGGUAGAGCGGAAGGGAAUCAUUCUGUAGGAUCCAUCCUAGUGGGUACCAACGGAAUUAUCCGGAUGAGGGAAAGACAAUUUCAUGGAACAGCAAUAAGACUUUCACGAGUCAGAACAAGCACAGGAGGGGAUAAUGACUGAGCCACCAGUGAUACAGGAUUACAGUGAGUCCGAGGGGGGACUAGGGAUGGGCCGCAGGGCAUUCCAUUCUCUCUUCUGAAGGGGACAAGAUACCGAUCGACUGACCUGGAGAUGGACUGCAGGGGUCUCCUUGAUCACCAUGUGUGCAAUGGGAUCUGUUGCUGCUGUGGGGCGCUACGGCCUCGUUACAAGAGAUUGGUUGAUAAUAUUUUUCCGGAAGAUUCCGAGGAUGGUCUGGUGAAAGCAAACAUGGAGAAGCUGACCUUCUACGCGCUCUCGGCCCCAGAGAAACUGGACCGGAUUGGGUCCUACCUCUCCGAGAGGCUGAGCAGGGACGUAGCCCGACAUCGUUAUGGUUAUGUCUGCAUUGCUAUGGAAGCGCUGGACCAGCUUCUCAUGGCCUGUCACUGCCAGAGCAUCAACCUGUUUGUGGAGAGCUUUCUGAAGAUGGUGGCCAAACUGUUGGAAUCAGAAAAGCCAAAUCUACAGAUCUUGGGGACCAACUCAUUUGUGAAGUUUGCCAAUAUAGAAGAGGACACACCAUCGUAUCACCGCAGCUACGACUUCUUCGUCUCCCGCUUCAGUGAGAUGUGCCACUCCAGCCACGACGACGGGGAGAUCAGGACAAAGAUUCGCAUGGCAGGGAUCAAAGGGUUGCAGGGAGUUGUCAGGAAAACCGUGAAUGAUGAGCUUCAGGCUAAUAUCUGGGAGACCCAGCACAUGGACAAGAUUGUACCGUCGCUUCUGUACAACCUCCAGCAAGUGGAAGAGACAGAAAGCCGAUCGCCGUCUCCACUACAGACUAGUGAGAAGGAAAAGGAGAUCCCAGCAGAACUAGCAGAGAGGUGCCUCCGGGAGUUGCUGGGGAGAGCGGCCUAUGGGAAUAUCAAGAAUGCUAUCAAGCCUGUCCUAAUGCACUUGGAUAACCAUUCCCUGUGGGAGCCCAAACUCUUUGCUAUCCGAUGCUUUAAGAUCAUCAUGUAUUCCAUACAGCCCCAGCACUCCCACCUGGUAAUCCAGCAGCUCCUGGGCCACCUGGAUGCAAACAGUAAGAGCGCGGCCACGGUGAGAGCGGGGAUCGUGGAAGUGCUGUCCGAGGCGGCAGUUAUAGCUGCCAGCGGAUCUGUAGGUCCCACCGUGCUAGAAGUGUUCAACACCCUGCUCCGCCAGCUGCGGCUCAGCAUCGACUAUGAGCUCACCGGCACCUACGACUCUACCGUCAACAUCGGCACCAAAAUCAUCAAGGAGCAUGAGGAGAGGAUGUUCCAAGAAGCCGUAAUCAAGACAAUAGGCUCCUUUGCCAGCACCCUGCCAAUCUACCAGCGGUCGGAAGUCAUGCUGUUUAUAAUGGGGAAGGUGCCGCUGCCCUCUAUGCACCAUGCCAUGGACUUUGGCAAAGCAGGGGAGAACAGGAAUCGGUUAACCCAGAUCAUGCUGCUGAAAUCCCUCCUCCAGGUAUCCAUGGGCUUCCAGUGCAACAACAUGCUGACCGCCCUGCCCAGCUCCUUCCUGGACCCCCUGCUCUCCUCCGCCCUAAUGGAAGAUGCUGAGAUCCGACUCUUUGUCCUAGAAAUUCUCAUCUGCCUCAUCGACCGACACGGGAACAGGCACAAGAUCUCGAGCAUCAGCACAGAACCAGACAUCUCGGUGCUGAAGCUGAAGGUGGACAAGUGUUCCCGGCAGGACACGCUCUUCAUGAAGAAGCAUGCUCAGCAUCUGUACCGGCACAUCUACCUGAGCUGCAACGAGCCGACCAACGUGCAGACUCACUACGAAGCCCUUUAUUUCCUGCUGGUGAUUAUAAGCAUUGAGUUGGCCACCGAGGAUGUGGUGGUAGAUCUCAUCCGCCUGGUGUUAGCGGUGCAGGAGAUGGCUCUGAACAAUGAGGACAAUCUCCCUGCAUAUUGUCGCUGUGCCAUCCAGGCCCUCUGUGCCGCCUACCUCAGCCUGAUCAGCAACCUGACCACUGUGCCUGCCUUCUGCCAGCACGUUCAUGAGGUAAUAGAAAUGCGUCAGAAGGAGGCGCCGUAUUUACUCCCAGAAGAUAUAUUCACAGAAAAACCACAGUGGUCUAGUUCUAUGGAUCGCGUAGAGACCCAAUUGCUGUUCCUGCAGAGCAAGAUCAGUGAAGUGCUGGGAGGAAGCGGGUACAAUACAGACAGGCUGAGCACCCCGUAUGUACCCCAGCUAACAGAUGAAGAUCGCUUGUCGAAGAGGAAGAGUAUUGGCGAAACCAUCUCUCUGCAGGUUGAGGUGGAGUCGAGAAACAGCCCUGAGAAAGAGGAGAAAGCCCCCGCAGAAGAGAUUACGUUUGAGACUCUGAAGAAAGCCAUAGUUGAUAGUGUGGCUGUAGAAGAGCAGGAACGAGAGCGGAGGCGUCAGGUGGUGGAAAAGUUCCAGAAGGCUCCGUUUGAAGAAAUUGCAGCACAUUGUGGUGCAAGGGCAACGUUGCUCCAAAGUAAACUCAACCAAAUCUUUGAGCUGACGAUUCGGCCGCCACCCAGCCCCUCGGGCACCAUUACGGCGGCGUAUGGACAGUCCCAGAAUCACUCCAUCCCGGUGUAUGAAAUGAAGUUCCCGGAUCUGUGCGUCUACUGACAGGCGGCGCCAACUGCCGACUAAGGACUUUUCUGGCAGCAUGGCAGCAGCAGCGGUGGUACCGGGGUACAGACCAAGGCCCUGUACCUCUCCCUUUACCUCUUCCACCCAAAUGGAACAUAACUCCAGCAGCUGAAGGAGACACGGCUGUUCUCUCUGUAGGGCGCCCCUAUAUUUCUCCCUGCGAGCCGUAAUGUACAGUUGGAAACAUAUCCAGAAUAUGGACUCCUGGGCCAUAUGGUUCUGUAGCUAGCGAGCACCCCCACCUUAUUUCUCUGGUAUGGCUUCUUACCUUCGUGCUAAUGUGGGCGGCAGUAAUGCUACUGGGAACCCACCUACACCACUUACCUGCCUUCCACUCUUCAUAGGUCCAGUUAAUAAACCGUAUUUUCCCACAGAACCUUUCUCUGUAGCAACUAUCGCUGUUCAUUUAGUAAACAGAUUGUGAGGUGUCCAAGGCCCUUCUUCUCAUUUCAGGUCUGCACCCCAAGAACAAGCAAUAGGCCUUAUCUUCAGUUUACUUACCUGUAAUAUCCCUAUGGAUAUCAUUCACCGGUGCAUUACCAUUUCCUGCCAUGGGGGGAGCUAUGUUACAUUGUCAUGUUCUCUUACAGUGUAGCUGAAUGAUUAGACUUAUUUCUUGCUUCACCUUAUGGCCACCAGGGGAGCUCUUGCUACUGCUGCUCAUAGAGAAUGCCUCAUCCCAGGCAAGGCAUAUGGCAGCUCCCAAAUCAUCCUAAAAAUAUAUGCAGUGGGUGAAACUUGGGCCAUGUUUGGUGGCAGCUGGGGCUGUAUUUCUUUGGCAACAACAAAUUGCUGCUCUAGUAGCCAAAACUCCAUAAACACAAGUAUAAUAUAGCUACUCCUUUCUUAAUUCUUUACCUUUAAAGGGGAAGUUCAGAGUACCUUUUUAUCUGUUAUAGAUGGACCCGGUCUACACAACUUUUCAGUUGUUUUUAGUCUAUACUAAUCAUUUUAUAUGAUUUUUGAAUUUUUAGAAUUCAAUUUCAGUCUCUUUUCAACCCGCAACUGAAAAGUGUAUCAAUUAGAAUUGGGGUCAGUGACCCUGGCAACCAAAACACAUUGAUUGUGGUUUUACUGUCAUUCUUAUUAUUUCAUUGCAAUUCUUUUAUUUCUUUUCAGGUCCUUUACUAUUCAUUAUUCAUUCAUUUUAUGCAUUUAGAUGUCAGAACUGCUUCCUGGUUGCUAAGGUAGAUAUCCCCUAGCAACUAGCAAGUUAACAGUUGAAAUUUGACGACUGAGAGCUACAGACAUUCACAAACCAGGUAAAUGAUUAAAAAAAUAAAUAAGACCAAUUGCAAACUGCUUUCUAUAAUACUAAAAGUUCUUUCUAAGGUGACCCGCACCUAGAUCUAAUUUAAGACCUUUUUGUCUAAGCAUAUUUCCCCUUUAAUUGAGUUUUUUGUGAGUUUUGUGACUUUCCUGUAGCCAUAGGAGAGUGUUUAUGGCGAGUGAAGCCAUCGUUGGCCUUGGGAAGCAGAUAAUGUUCCGGGGGGGAAUGGUCACUAUGGGUGUAAGUGCAUAUUGUGCGGAUAGAGUGCCGGACACAAUCCGUCUGUAUAGAAAGUGCAGCCUUUGUUCCCCGCAUACAAAUGGGCAUCUGACGCAUUUUCUGCGCGCACACGGACGGGGCCACAGCUGCCUCGUGUAGUGCAGGAUCCUCUACAUAAAGGAACUGGGGGGCAAAUGGAUUCCAGCAACACAAUAACAAUGUUAUGGAAGCAUCAAUAACGGAAUAAUCCCCCCCGGAAUGAUCAAUUGGAAUUCUAGUAAUGGCACAAACCCGCCGAAUCCCAUUGGCUCCCAGUUAUUCUCUCACUAUUUUAUUAUUACUUUCCCUUUAUUUCAGUCUGUGUAGCCCUCAGUCUGGCAGCGCUGAGCCAUAGUGCCGCUAGUAAGGACUGGGUUCCUUGGCACCCUAAUAAAUUAGGGGGGAAUGGGGGAUGCCUACAUGCCUCCCCCCAGCUUUAAGUAAUACAGCUCUGCCGAUUGUUUACUAAAUGUAAUGAUUCUAUCCCACACAUUCUAAUCAUUGUAUCUGAGAUAUUCUGACCAUUAUAUUCCAUUCAUUUUAGCCAUUCUAUCUCACACAUUCCAAUGAUUCUAUCCCAUACAUUCUAAUCAUUGUAUCUGAGAUAUUCUGACCAUUAUAUUCCAUUCAUUGUAGCCAUUCUAUCUGACACAUUCCAAUGAUUCUAUCCCAUACAUUCUAAUCAUUGUAUCUGAGAUAUUCUAAUCAUUAUAUUCCAUUCAUUUUAGCCAUUCUAUCUGACACUUUCCAAUGAUUCUAUCCCAUACAUUCUAAUCAUUGUAUCUGAGAUAUUCUAACCAUUAUAUUCCAUUCAUUUUAGCCAUUCUAUCUGACACAUUCCAAUGAUUCUAUUCCAUACAUUCUAAAUUUUCUCUCCCGGAUAUUCUAACCGUUCUAUCCCAUGAAUUGUAAUAAUUCUAUCCAAGAUAUUCUAACCAUUCCAUCCCAUACAUUCUAGUCAUUCUAUCACAUUCUUACACAUUAUAAUGAUUAUAUCCCAUACACCCUAAUCAUUGUAUCCUAGAUAUUCUAUUUUAAUUAUUCUAUCUUCUAUUUCAAACAUUCUAUCCUGGACAUUCUCACCAUUCUAUCCCAUUCAUUCUUAUAAAUCUAUCUCAGAUAUUCUAACCAUACAUUCUAGUCAUUCUAUCUCACAUAUUCUAAUUUCUAGUUUAUGCUCCUUUCUAUUUAUGCAGACCUGUGCCACACCCAUUAUUAUUGUUUACAGCUCUGCUAAUUGGCGGCACUGCUGUAGGUCCAUAAUGAAAGAAUGAAUCUAUUCUGCACCUGCAAUUUGGGUCUUACCUGCUGGGAACAGGGUGCAAAGUGUGAAAGACACGGUUCCACCUUUCCCACCAUUUGUGAAUAACCCCUUACAUUAGUAUUAAAGAAAAGAGCAACCCAGACCAGUAUUUAGUUAUGUCAGCUGUAGCUCCUGGGCCCACACAUUCUUCUACUUGUGGGCUGAGCCCCAACCCAAGCCAAGUCAGAUUGGUAUUGGCUGCACCUCCGAGUAGGAACCUCAGAAUUAUUCUUUGUAACGAGGUGUGUGAUCUAAGCUUCCACUUGUAACUCAUGUAUAUACUGUAUAUAGGUACAAAGAAGGGGGGUUGGCUAAGUAAAGUUAUGAUCAUGAAGCUGACAAGCCCCCAUACCCCAUAUGAUGGUCCUAACUAUUUACCUCUGGUAAAGUGUUUCAUAGGCUAGUAUCUCCCUGUGUAGCAUAUGUUGGGAUACGUACUGUAUCUCCUGACCAAGGCACUGGUCUCACUGCAUAUAAGUAUCCCAACUCUUUUCCUUUAAAGGGGAAGUUCACCUUCAGUCAAUAGUCUGAAUUUGAAGAGCCCCUGUCCGAAAAAACAUUUUUGUAAUUCUUCUUUAUUAUUUAUGUUUAGUUUUGAAACUACAGACCAGGAUCAGCAGUGAUAAGACUCUCUCUCCUCUGCUCUUCCUUUGGAAGGGAUUGCCGACACCAACUUGCAUUUUACCCAAACAGGAAGUUGGCACUGAACUAGUGCACUAUUGCACAUGCCCUUCCUCUCCUCCUGUAUUUGCAUUUCAUUGAUUCUAUUGGCUGAAUCUUGCAAGGCAGUGGUAUCAAAUAUAUGUGCAGUAACCAGUUCAGUGCCAACUUCCUGUUUGGGGAGAAUGCAAGUUGGUGUCGGCAAUCCCUUUCAAAGAGAGAGAGCGAAAAUGUUUUUUCUGAUAGGGGUUCUUCAAAUUCAGACUGUUGUCUGAAGGUAAACUUCCCCUUUAGGUGCAUGUCAUGUGGGGCAAAUGGGCAGAUAAUACACUUUACACUGGUUCUGCUUUUCAAUGCCAACAUCACUAAUCUGAGAAAUGUAAAUUGGUGGGAAAUAGUGUUUGAUAAAUAAAACAACUGGUUAAUUUAGUUAGUAUCCCAUCAAGGUGCAUAGAUAAGUUAUAUAUAAAGUAAUAUGUAUAUAUAUUCUGAACCUGGUGCACCAACCUUGGGCACUGAUGUUGGGGAUCAGGCCUGGCUCACAGUUGGGGUUCCAGUUCAUCCUACUGGGGUUCAGUUGGGUCAGGCUUAUGUGCAGUCAGGUUCUUCUCAUCUCAGCAACCUUGGGCACUGAUGUUGGGGAUCAGGCCUGGCUUACAGUUGGGGUUCCAGUUUAUCCUACAGGGGUUCAGUUGGGUCAGGGUUCUGUACAGUCAGAUUCUUCCCAUCUCAGCAAACCCAUUUUGUAGGACCUGGCUCUAUGCAUGGGGGGCAUUAUUGUGCCGAAACAGGGAUGAGCCCCCCCAAACUGUUGGGAAUGUUAUGGCAAUCAUGGGUGUGGCUUAAUUAUCCAAUUAUUAGUUGGUGUGUUAACAUACUUUUGGCCAUAUAGUGCAUCCAGCGGAGUGAUCCAUGGGCUUACAGGGGGUUAAUAGUUCUGAUACCCUCUCCCGGAACCCUUUGUCUCCAUUUCUGUGUCAUAACCUGCCUGUCCUUACACUAAUGGAACCCUUUCUGCUCUGAUGGCAAAGCCUCCUUCCCCCCCCCAGUCGCAGUCUCAAUACCCCUGUAUAAUUCCACCCACGCCAGAAAAAAAUCAUUUACUUCUCAAAAAUGAAACAAAUAUAUUUUUCUUUUAUCAAACAUGGUCGUUUGUAAUAUUUUUAUAUAAAAAAAAAGAUGUUGUUGAUCCCAUUCCUGUGCCCCGAAAGCAGUAGAAUAAAUUGUGCAGACUUGUCCCUGGGCAAACGGGUCCCCUCCCUGAUGUAAAUACCGCUGUACAUUGCCAAUAAAGUGUAAUCAUUGUCAGUGUGUCAAAUGAUUCCUGUGCUGUCGUUAAUAAAAUUGUACCUUCGGUACAGAAUCACUUGUA